AACGAACGCUGGCGGCAUGCCUAAUACAUGCAAGUCGAACGAUCACUUCGGUGGUAGUGGCGCACGGGUGCGUAACGCGUGGGAAUCUGCCCUUGGGUUCGGAAUAACGUCGGGAAACUGACGCUAAUACCGGAUGAUGACGUAAGUCCAAAGAUUUAUCGCCCAGGGAUGAGCCCGCGUAGGAUUAGCUAGUUGGUGGGGUAAAGGCCUACCAAGGCGACGAUCCUUAGCUGGUCUGAGAGGAUGAUCAGCCACACUGGGACUGAGACACGGCCAAGACUCCUAGGGGAGGCAGAGGUAGGAAAUAUUGAACAAUGGGGGAAACCCUGACCCAGCAAUGCCGCGUGGGUGAUAAAGGCCUUAGGGUUGUAAAGCUUUUUUCCCGGGGAUGAUAAGGACAGUCCCGGGAGAAUAAGCCCCGGCAAACUCCGUGCCAGCCGCCGCCGUAA
rnacentral:rRNA from 1 species